rnacentral:rRNA from 1 species
GACGAACGCUGGCGGCGUGCUUAACACAUGCAAGUCGAACGAUGAACCACUUCGGUGGGGAUUAGUGGCGAACGGGUGAGUAACACGUGGGCAAUCUGCCCUUCACUCUGGGACAAGCCCUGGAAACGGGGUCUAAUACCGGAUAACACUGCCACGGGCAUCUGUGGUGGUUAAAAGCUCCGGCGGUGAAGGAUGAGCCCGCGGCCUAUCAGCUUGUUGGUGAGGUAAUGGCNCACCAAGGCGACGACGGGUAGCCGGCCUGAGAGGGCGACCGGCCACACUGGGACUGAGACACGGCCCAGACUCCUACGGGAGGCAGCAGUGGGGAAUAUUGCACAAUGGGCGAAAGCCUGAUGCAGCGACGCCGCGUGAGGGAUGACGGCCU